rnacentral:rRNA from 1 species
UACGUAGGGGGCAAGCGUUGUCCGGAUUUAUUGGGCGAAAGAGCGUGUAGGCGGCUGGGUAGGUCCGUUGUGAAAACUCGAGGCUCAACCUCGAGACGCCGAUGGAAACCCCCCAGCUAGAGUCCGGAAGAGGAGAGUGGAAUUCCUGGUGUAGCGGUGAAAUGCGCAGAUAUCAGGAGGAACACCGGUGGCGAAGGCGGGUCUCUGGGCCGAUACUGACGCUGAGGAGCGAAAGCGUGGGGAGCGAACAGG